GACGAACGCUGGCGGCGUGCUUAACACAUGCAAGUCGAACGGAAAGGCCCUGCUUUUGUGGGGUGCUCGAGUGGCGAACGGGUGAGUAACACGUGAGUAACCUGCCCUUUACUUUGUGAUAACUUCAGGAAACUGGGGCUAAUACCGGAUAGGAUCUCCUGCUGCAUGGUGGGGGUUGGAAAGUUUCGGCGGUUGGGGAUGUACUCGCGGCUUAUCAGCUUGUUGGUGGGGUAGUGGCUUACCAAGGCUUUGACGGGUAGCCGGCCUGAGAGGGUGACCGGGAACAUGGGGACUGAGAAACGGCCCAGAAGGGAACGGGAGGAAGCAGUGGGGAAUAUUGCACAAUGGGCGGAAGCCUGAUGCAGAAACGCAGCGUGCGGGAUGACGGCCUUCGGGUUGUAAACAGCUUUCGCAUGUGACGAAGAGUGAGUGACGGUAAUGGGUAAAGAAGCACCGGCUAACUACGUG
rnacentral:rRNA from 1 species